UACGUAGGGCGCAAGCGUUGUCCGGAAUUACUGGGCGUAAAGAGCUCGUAGGUGGUUGUCGCGUUGUUCGUGAAAACUCACAGCUCAACUGUGGGCGUGCGGGCGAUACGGGCAGACUUGAGUACUGCAGGGGGAGACUGGAAUUCCUGGUGUAGCGGUGGAAUGCGCAGAUAUCAGGAGGAACACCGGUGGCGAAGGCGGGUCUCUGGGCAGUAACUGACGCUGAGGAGCGAAAGCCGUGGGGAGCGAACAGG
rnacentral:rRNA from 1 species